ACUAAAAAGAAGAAAGAAACUGAGAAACCCGACAUUUAUUGGAGUUCAUGUGCGUAGAACAGAUUAUCUAUCGUGGAUUAAAACACAGUUUAAAGGAACACCUGUGGAUGAAAACUACUUUAAAUACGCGUUUGAACAGUUCAGGAAAAAGUAUGAAGAGCCAAUAUUUGUGGUGCUCAGCGAUGACAGAAAAUGGUGUAUGACACAUUUAAAAGAUAUGG